rnacentral:tRNA from 1 species
GAGGGGAUAGCUCAGUGGUAGAACAUGUGCUUAGCAUGCACGAGGUCCUGGGUUCAAUCUCCAGUACCUCCA